GUAAACACAAGACUUCCGAUAUCCGAAACUGGGAUUAACAGUAGCAGGAGUAGGCAAGAUGGUUCUUCUUCGAGAUGUAGGUAGAGAGGAAAUCGGUUGCUUUGGAACCGGAAUCGGGAGCCUGUGCAGGGACGAGUACUUGCGUCUUUCCCACGGCUAUUCUCUUUCCGACGACAUUACCAUAGAACAGGCCAGAAAUGGCUGGAACAAAGACGUCGCUCUCAGUGCAGAUGUGCAAGUCGAGAGCUCUCUCAAGUUCGGGGCC
rnacentral:misc_RNA from 1 species